GGUAUAGUCACCCUUCAGAUAUAUGCUGUUCACCAGGUUACCAUACAGGUAUAUUCACCCUUCAGAUAGAUGCUGUUCACCAGGUUACCAUACAGGUAUAUUCACCCUUCAGAUAGAUGCUGUUCACCAGGUUACCCUACAGGUAUAUUCACCCUUCAGAUAGAUGCUGUUCACCAGGUUACCAUACAGGUAUAUUAGAUAGAUAGAUGCUGUUCACCAGGUUACCCUACAGGUACAUUAGAUAGAUGCUGUACACCAGGUUACCAUACAGGUACAUUCACCCUUCAGAUAGAUGCUGUUCACCAGGUUACCAUACAGGUACAUUCACCCUUCAGAUAGAUGCUGUUCACCAGGUUACCAUACAGGUACAUUCACCCUUCAGAUAGAUGCUGUUCACCAGGUUACCAUACAGGUACAUUCACCCUUCAGAUAGAUGCUGUUCACCAGGUUACCAUACAGGUACAUUCACCCUUCAGAUAGAUGCUGUUCACCAGGUUACCAUACAGGUACAUUCACCCUUCAGAUAGAUGCUGUUCACCAGGUUACCAUACAGGUACAUUCACCCUUCAGAUAGAUGCUGUUCACCAGGUUACCAUACAGGUACAUUCACCCUUCAGAUAGAUGCUGUUCACCAGGUUACCCUACAGGUACAUUAGAAAGAUGCUGUACACCAGGUUACCCUACAGGUACAUUCACCCUUCAGAUAGAUGCUGUUCACCAGGUUACCAUACAGGUACAUUCACCCUUCAGAUAGAUGCUGUUCACCAG